rnacentral:lncRNA from 1 species
AAAAGAAAUGUUCAAAUAAACAAAAUUCCUAAACUAUCCACCUAAACCCUUAAACUUUCCCAGUGAUUUCCUGCAUCGAGGCCAACUUCGAUGACUGGUUGCCUUCAAGAUUUUCUCUUCCUUUCGUUUUUGUCUUGUACCAGCCUCUCAAAACUCAAAGCUUCCUCGGAGGUCCACUCCCCUACCAUUUCCUCCGGUCUCAGCAACACAAUUACUCUUUAACUUCUAUGGCAUUUAUUUUUAUCUACUGUUAUAAGACACUCAAUUUCUGGAGAGACUUCUUCCACCCAGUAAAUCAAAGAGUCAGAUCAUCGUUUCUACACUACCAAUCCAUGCUCUGCUUCAGUUGCCGUUCGGGGAACAUGCCUAAAAGUUAAGGUUUCGAAUAUGGAUAACAUGUCCUUAAUGUCAUUGAUUAUGUUACUUAUGUACGAUCUAUCAUUUCCUUCCAUUCUUAACUUUUUUUUAUCACUGUUAAUGCAUCUCCCUCCACGCAGGCUCUCUUGAAUCCCAGAUCCUCUGCAAAUAUUACCGUUUGUAGACAUGCUUUAGCUUCUGCAGUGGUCGGGUCGUGAAUCUCUCCCAUGGGUAAACACAUGACCUCAUUACUAACCCUUCGUUAUUCCUGAUUAUUACACCUGAUACUCUUUGUUAUGUUUCAACUGGAAAGAAGUAUCAAUGUUUAUCUUGACCUAUUCAUCUUCAGGGGGUUCCCAAACGGUUUCUUCUCUAUUAGUCUUAAUUUCUGAUAGUGUUUCCAGUUGAUUAUAUUCUGUCACGUAUGCCUUGAUAAAACCUACUACAUCCUACACUUUCUCCCUAAUCCCUUCGUGAUAUAGUUUAUUCUUGUUAUACCAUGUAGACACCUAUUUUUUUUCGACCCAUUUGUUCUUUUUAAAUUUUUGUUCUCUCCCCGUUUGAAGCCCACCCAAUUUUCGUUAAUUGGAGGCCUUUUUUUCUUUCUUUUUUUUUUUCCUUUUUGAGUCUGUCAAGGACUCAAACUAUUAUUAUUAUUACUACUACUAUUAUUAUUAUUAAAUAUCUUUUUUAUCUUUUUUUAUUACAAAUAAACAAGAUUAAAAAACAAUAUCUAUAUAUAUAUGAAAUGAAAUAAAACAAAGGGAGAAGGCUUUUCAUAUUCUUUUUUUUUUAAAGGUAAAAGAAAAAAUAACAACAACAAGCAUGCUAUUUCUUUUUCUUUACUUUUUGUCAUAGACAUGUCAUGAGGGAUCGGGUUUUAGGCUCCAAUGAAGGGGACGUCAACGGACCGUCGAUCCUCCGCCCUUAGGAGCCCCAAAAAUCUCUUCUUCUUUUUUCCUUCCCUUUUCUAAAAUAAAGUUUUUUUUUUAAAAAAAGCUUGAUCUUAGGAAAAAUUUUGAUUUUUUUUUAAAAAAGUGAAAGUUUAGUUUUUUAAAAUAAAAAUAUGUUUUUUAGUCAUAUUAAAGGAAAAGUUUAAAUUUUUAAAAUAAAGUUUUGAUCUUUUUCAACUAUUUUGAAAUAAAACUUUGAUUUUUAAAAAAAGUGAUUUUUUUUAAAAGAGAAAUUUUAGAUUUUUAAAAUAAAAAUAUGGUUUUUAGUCAUUUUAAAAGAAAAGUUUAAAAUUUUUAAAACAAAGUUUUGAUUUUUUUUCAACUAUUUCAAAAUAAUGCUUUGAUUUUUAAGAAAAGUAGUGAUUUUUUUAAAAGAAAACUUUGAUUUUGCAAAAAAAUAAAAUAAAAUAAAAUUCCAACCACCGUAUGCGGCGGCUCCACCACAGGAGGCCGAAGAGUCGUUGGACUCUCCGGUGGUGGAACCAUGGCCAACAUAGAAAGAGGAAGAAAAUGAGGAAGAGUUUUUAUUUUUAUUUUUAUUUUUAAAUGAGGUUAAAAAUGAAAUAAUGAAUAAAUUUCUCCUAUUUAUAUGUGCCAAAAUGGAUAAUUUAUUCCCACCCCCUUACUUUUUAAAUUUACAAAAAAUACCCCAUUUUUUGUAGCACACUCUCUGGUCUAUUUACACCCGUAACUCUUUUUGUUUAUUUAAACCUUUAAUUUAAUCCAAAAUUUCAAAAUUAAAAAUAAAUUAAUUGCUACAUCAGUCAUCUAUCUUCCACAUUUUUUAUCUUUUAGUCCCAAAAUCAAGUUAUGCCAUUUUGUUUCCAUCUUUAAUAAAUUAUUUACACUUAUAUCUUCCCUUUCAUUUGCAUUUAUACAUUCUAUAUUUAAUGUCAAUUAUGCACUUUAUUUUAAUGUUUGAUAUUUAUUCACACUUGUAUAAUUUUUAUUUAUUCUUAUUUCAUCUUUAUUUAUUUUCAAGUCUAUUUAUAUUUAUGUUUUUUUUACACAUUCUCCUUACAUACAUUUUAAUAUUAUUUGUUUAUGUUACUUUGAUUCUUUUAUUGUAUUAUGAAUAAGGUGUAUUAUUGUUAUUAUUAUCAUUAUCAUGUCAAGGUCUUAUUUGUUUAAUUUAUUUAAGUUUUCUUUUUAUUAUUGCCCUUUUUGAAAGAGUUUUAACUUUUGAAACUUUAGGUCAUUUUUUCUUCCUAUAAAUGUUGAAAUGAAGUUAGUUAAGUAGAUGUUACAUUUUAAUGAAACCAUAAGGUUUUUACAUUUGAAUUUAUGCUAGUCUUUAAGAUCUUAUCUACCAUUUACCCUAGAAAAAUUAAAAAUAAUAUGUAGGAUUAUUUUAGGGUUUUAAACUAAUUUUAAAUAUCGUAUAGGAUUCCUCUUUAGAAUCUUAAAUUAAUGUGUAAAUAUUUUUUAGAACUUUGAUUAAGAUUAAAACUGAAGAUUUUUGUUGGUGAAUUGUAAAUCAUGAGUAUGUCUUUCUAAGUAUUUUAUUUUAGAAACUUUUUAAGAAAGCUAAUAAAUGUUAUUUAAUAUAUAUUAUUUUAGGAUUUUGAUGAAUUUAAAUCUUAGAUUAAGAAUUUUAAGGUAAGAUAAAUCAUAAACCCGAUAUAGGAUCGAUGAUUUUACAACAUUGAGAGGUAAACAUGAGAUUAUGCGCAAUUCAAAUUGGAAAGAUGGGAGCAUUCCCUAGAAUGACUUUUGUGAUGAAAUUAACCAUAUUUCGAAAUGAUAAAUGGCAUCCUUUUGUUCUUCCCCGUCACUUGGAGAAAAUCAAAUCCUUUGCUACCCUAUUUUGAGCCUUAUGUAUUUUCUUUCUGAACCCUAAUUAAAGUCAUCCAUCGAACAUCAUGGAUUGACAAGAAAGAUCAUGAGAAAUGAAAACAAAAUUCUUAAUUCUUAAUCUCAUUUCCAAAAAAUAUGUGUAUAUAUAUAUAUAAAAGAAAUAGAGAAAGCGAAUAAGAAACAAAAAAAAGAAAGGAAAUAGAAAAGAGUAAGAAUUAAAAAAAAGUGCUUGGGAGAUGGAAGGAGCAAUAAAAAGUUCAAAAUAACUCAUCAUGGUUUUUAUACUAUUUCACAUAAUAUUUAUAUUUUAGCCUAGAAAACCUUUCCCUAAUUGACCCUUAACCUUUAGACCAUGUUACAACCCUUAAAAGACCAUUUUGACCGAAUAUAUUUGUUCAAAUCAAGAAGUUAAUCUUUGGGAAAUUGUGACGUCUUCAAGAGCUUAAAAGGGAGAUGAAAUCGUGUGAAAACUUAGAAAUGAUAUGAGAUGCCCUGGAGGAUAAUGAAGAUUUUUAGAUGAAAUUGAUCCUUCAAUACGAAUCCUGAAGUCAUCUAUUUGAGCCUAUUUUAGCCUUUUCUUUGGCACCCAAACUCGAGCUGACACUAUAACCUUGGAACAAGUCCAUCUCUGAUUGCUCAUAGCCAGUUUAAAUAAGGGAAUUAAUCUACAUGGAGAAUGUAAGAGUCUAUAGAAAGAAGAUUUUGCCUAAAUAAAUAAAUAUAUAUAUAAAAGAAAACAAAAAGAAGAAAAAAAUAGAGAAAGAGAGAGAGAGAAAGGAACUACAAUAAAGAAUAUCUAUUUUAAGACGCAAUUUUGCAAAAGAGCAUGGUACAGGGUUCACAGUCAAAAUAAUCCAAAGUCAGGAAUAAGAAAUUCGACUUCAUGAGAAUUAACGAGUUGACUCUCAAUGCAAGAAAUUUAUGUUUUAAUCGUGGAUUAAUGAAAUCCAUAAUACCAAGUUUGUUAGGUGAAUUAUCAUUUAAGAAUUUAAUUUACGGUUCAUAAAAUUAUUUUGAAAUUUGUUAAGGUGAUAUUCCAUGAGAUUUGAUUUUCAUGAUCUAUUGUGUGUGGAUAGGGAUUUGAUCCUUUUCAACCUAAAAACAUGAUUCUCAAAAAGACGACCUUUUAUGAAAAAUUCAAGAAAGGAAGAAGGAAAGCAUUCAUUGCAUUUAGAGGCCCAACUGUGCAUGUCCAUUUACUUUUCAUUGCAUUUAAAGGCCCACGUGUGGAGGUCCAUUUACUUUUCAUUGCAUUGUAUAUGAAGGCAUAGGUGUGAGAUCUAUUUACAUUUCUUUUGCAUUCCCAUUUCAAAGAUUUGGUUGUGAGGUCUGAAUUUAUCUUGUUUCACUCUCCAUGUUUUGAUGGUUUGGCAUCUAUUUUUCUAGUUUUGGAAAACAUAACAUGUUUUGAUUUGUUUCGGUUUUGGUAAUUGUAAAAUAUGUUGUUCCUUAUACUGCGAUGUUGAGUGGCAUUUGAUAGUAGUUAGGUGUCUAUGUCUUUGUACAUUCCUUACUACGCAAGCCACGAACAAAGAGGCGCAGCUGUAGACACCUCUUUUUUCCAAACCUAAUUGGAGGCCAUUUGUUCUCUUUAAAUUUUUGUUCUCUCUUAGGCCAGUUUGAAGCCCAUUCGAUUUUGGUCAAUUUGAGGCCUUUGUUUUUCUUUUCUUUUUCUUUCCCUUUUGGGCCUGUCAAGGGCCCAUAUUAUUAUUAUUAUUAUUAUUAUUAUUAUUAUUAUCAUUACUACUACUAUUAUUAUUAUUAUUAAAUAUCAUUAUCAUCUUUUUUUACAAAUAAACAAGAUUGAAAAACAAUAUAUAUAUACAUGAAAUGAAAGAAAAAAAAAAGGAGGCGACUUUUCAUAUUCUGCUUUCAAUCAUGCUAUUUCUUUUUCUUUUUCUUUUCUUUUCUUUUUACAUAGACAUGUCAUGAUGGAUUGGGUUUUGGGCUCCUAUGAAGGGGACGUCACUGGACCGUCGAUCCUUCGGCAAUAGGAGCCUUAAAAAUCCAUUUUUUAUACCUUUCCCUUUUUAAAAAAUAAAAGUUUUUUUUUAAAACAAAGCUUGAUUAUAGGAAAAGUUUUGAUUUUUUUAAAAAAAGAGAGUUUGUAUUUUUAAAAUAAAAAUAUGAUUGUUAGUCAUAUUAAAGGAAAAGCUUAAAUUUUUAAAAGAAAGUUUUGAUUUUUUUAACUAUUUCAAAAAAAAGCUUUGAUUUUUAAGAAAAAUAGUGAUUUUUUUUAAAAGAGAAAGUUUAUAUUUUUAAAAUAAAAAUUUAUUUUUUAAGUCAUUUUAAAGGAAAAGUUUAAAAUUUUUAAAACAAAGUUUUGAUAUUUUUCAACUAUUGCAAAAUAAAACUUUGAUUUUUAAGAAAAGUAGUGAUUUUUUUAAAGAAAACUUUGAUUUUGUUAAAAAAAAAAGGGGCCAUUGUAUAUGGUGGCUCCACCACCGAAGGCCAGAGAGCCGUUGGGCUCUCUAGUGGCAAAGCCAUGGCCAACAUAGAAAGAGGAAGAGAAGGAGGAAGAGGUUUUUUUUUUUUAAAUGAGGUUAAAAAUGAAAGAAUAAGUAGAUUUCUCCAAUUUAUAGGUGCCAAAAUGAUAAUUUAUUCCCAACUCAUUACUUUUUAAAUUUACAAAAAAAUACCCCAUUUUUUGCAGCACACUCUCUGACCUAUUUACACCCGUAACCCUUUUGUUUAUUCAAGCCUUCGAUUUAAUCUAAAAUUUUAAAAUUAAAAGAAAAUUAAUUAUUACAUCAGUCCUUUGUUUUCCACAUUUUUUAUUAUUGCCUUUUUGAAAGAGUUUUAACUUUUCAUUAACUUUAGCCAAUUUAAUUAAUUUUCCUAUUUUAUUACUAUUUGUUUUUAAAGAGGAAACUUUAGGUUAUUUUUCCAUCAUAUAAAUGUUGACAUGAAGCUAGUUAAGUAGAUGUUACAUUUUAAUGAAAUCAUAAGGUUUUGAUAUUUGAAUUUAGGUUAGCCUUUAAGAUCUUAUCUACCAUUUACCCUAGAAAAAUUAAAAGUAAUAUGUAGGAUUGCUUUUAGGAUUUUAAACUAAUUUUAAAUAUCAUAUAGGAUUCCUCUUUAGAAUCUUAAAUUAAUGUGUAAAUAUUCUUUAGAACUUUGUUCAAGAUUAAAACUAAAGAUUUUUGUAGGUGAAUUGUAAAUCAUGGGUAGGUCUUUCUAAGUAUUUUAUUUUAGAAACUUUUUGAGAAAACUAAUAAAUGCUAUUUAAGAUAUAUUAUUUUAGAAUUUUGACGAAUUUAAACAUUAGAUCAAGAAUUUUAAAGUAAGAUAAAUCAUAAACCCGACAUAGGAUACUUACAUAAGAUCUUCAUAGGUUCCAAGUUAUUAAUUAAAUCUUUUAAAAAAUAAUAAUAAUAAAAGAUCAAAUAAGUUGUAGAUAGAUUUUAAUAUUUCUCUAAAUUCAUUGGUAAUUUCUAGGUUUUUUUUUAGAAUUCUAAAAUAGAAUUAAUUUUAGGAAUUGAAGGUAUUUUUGUAACGUCCUAAAUUAGGGCCUAGUCGAAAUAGUGGUUUCGAGACCAUAAAUCCGAAGUGGAAAUAUUUAUUUUAUAAUUAUUAUAAAUUCUAUGAUAUGUUUCUAUGCUUGUGUGAAAAUUCCAUGAGGAAAUUUUAUGUGAAAAGUGUCUAAUUGAACUUUAGGGACUAAAUCGAAUAAUUUGUAAAACUUGUUUUCUAGAAGCAUUUUGCAUGAAAUUGAAUUGGAUUAUUUAUUAUAGGUCCUUAAUGAGUAAUUUGACCAAGUUCUAAAAAUUUUGGACAAAAAUGGGCUUGGAAGGGUAAAUUUUGAAAGAAUAGUAAAAAAGGCAUUUUGGUCAUUUAGGGGUAAAAUGAACUAAAAGACAAAAUUAAAAACCAAAUGUGUCCAUCUUCUUCCUAAGGGCCGAAAUUCUCAUGAAAACCACCAUGGCUAGGGUUUCUAAGCUUCCAAGCUCAAUAUUAAGUGCCUUCAAACCUCGUUUUUAAUGUUCUAAGCAUUUUUGAAGUCCUGGUAGCAUGAUCUAUCUAUUUCUACCAUUAUUUUGAGCUAUAGUUCAUGUUUAAAAAUUUACCCAUGCAUGACAUGUUAGUAUUUUGAUGUUUAAUGGUAGAAUAUGAAAGAUUGGGGUGUGUUUAACAUCUUUUACUAAGUGUUUUUUCAUGAAAAAGCCUAAAAAGGACUAAAUUGAAAAAGGUGUAAAAUGGGUAACUAAAAAUCUAUUUUAAUGAGAAAUAUGGGCUACCAUAAGCUUGACUAUGGUUCGGCUAGGCUUGGGUAACCAAGAAAUUGAACACAUUUCAUUUUACGAGCCUAGGGACCAAAGUGUAAAUAUGUGAAAAUUUAUGAGUCAAAAAGAAAAUUUGUAAAAAAAAUGAUUUUUGGACCCAUAUGAAUAAUGUGACUAAUUAGUAAGCUAAAUGUGAUACAAUAGAUCAAGGAAAAUAAGAUUCGGGCUUAGAACGAGGUUGAACAAGGUUAUGGACUAAUUUGGAAUAAGUAGUUGUAAUCGAACCCGAGGUAAGUUCAUAUGAUGAAAUAACCAAGUUGUUAAUGUUAUUGUUGUUCAUGGAUGAAAUCUAAAUUGGUAUGUUAAUCUAGUUGUGAUGAAUUGAUUAGAAUAUGAAAAAGUGAAAUGAAAUGAAAGCUUUUACUAUGAUGAGUAUAAAUACUUAAUGUAAUGUUGUACCAUGUGUUUAACGCUUAAAUUUUAUUAUGGAAUGUGCUUUGAUUAUCCCAUGAAUAUGUGGUUGAUGCUAUGAAUGGGCAAUUGGUACUAUUGUCAGCCUGAAUGACAUAUGGCCAUUAAAUACGACAUCACGAGCAAGUAUUCCAUGUGCAAGUGAGAAAGAAUCUCGUUUGAACCUUAGGAAUAGUUUAGGAUACAAGUGACAUCCCACUAGGAAUUAAGCAAUCCGAGCUCGUUUAGCUGUCCGAGCUCGUGAUAUGUAUGAGAUUCCAAACUUGUUGAGUGGUCCAAGUUCGUGAGAUAAGUGGCAUCCAAGCUCGUUGAGUGGUCCGAGUUCAAUGUGUAUGCGAUGCCUGUGACUGAGUUCCGGGCAACAGUCUUGAGUGUUCUACAGGUGGCUAGGUAAUCCUUGAGUGGUCGGAUACCUAUCAGCUUUUGUGAGUAGCCCGUGUAGUUACACCUAGAUCGGUUACUAUAUGUGUAACGUUCCAUGUAUCCAAUAGUAUUCUAAGUGUUCAACGGGUAUUGAUAUGUAAUGAAUGUGAUGAAGUCCCGAGAAGGGCAUGCUAAGAGGUAUGGUUAUGUGAUAUACUACGAUGAGCACAUGUAUGUACGCUAAAUUCAUGAGUAAUAGUUCGAUGAAUGAUGACUUUAGAUGAGGAAGCAUAUGUAUGUGUAUAUAUAUGAUAAACAAGUGAAAAGAGUUGAAUGGUGAACCAUCCUUAUGCCUAUGAUUAUGAAAUUUGUUGCAAUAUCAUGUUAACUUACAUUGUGUAAUUGAAUAAGGGAUCCAUGAAAUAAUGAGUCCAUGAUAGAUGUGACAAUGAACUUAGGUUAGUUAUUAUGAAUUUGCACUAUAACAGUGUUGGACAGCAGCACUUAUGUGAUUUUGAAAAUCUACCAAAAAUUGUGGAAUUUGAAUUAGAAACUGAAUAUGAUAUGAGAUAAAAGCUUAUUGAGUCUAGUUUCACAUAGAGGAAAUGAUGUAAGCAAAAUAUUUUUAUACUAUGAGAUAUUUGAAAUUUUGUGAGAUAGAGUCAGGGUGAUUUCGGGCUCCCCUGUUGAACUUUGGAAAAUUACUAGAAAUUGAAAAAAAAUAAUUAUGGGUUAAAAUUUAUAUGAAUAAGCUCUUAAUAAGUCUAUUUUAUGCACAUAUAAUAGGGGACACUUUAAAGAAUAAACUUUACUUAUUGGCUAGACCACAAAUUCUUGAAAUUUUAUGGUAAGAAGAUAUAUGAGUCUAGUUUUAGGGAAAAUUUACGGAUCUUAAUUUGGAGUUUCAUAGCUCCAGAUAUAAAUAAAUUAGUAACUAUGACUUGAGAAAACAGCAUGACCAAAAAAUAAGUAAAAGUGUAAUUAUGAUUAUAUCUCCGUGGAAUCAUGUUGAUAAUUUGCUUAUUAUUUUCAUAUGAACUUACUAAGCUUUAAGCUUACUCCCUCCUCUCCAUUUCUUUAGUGUUGUUAGGUCAGCUCGGGGUUGGAGAUCGUCAUAGGCAGCAUCACACUAUGAAGCCAUCCCCUAUGGAUUGUUAACAUGUAUAAGUUAAGCAUACACAAGUGAGUGGCAUGUAUAGAGACUUAGUCUUUCGAUAUAUGUGUUUCAUGAAUUGGCCAAAUGUAUUGACUUAUAAUGAUUCAAUUGUAUAUAGCCAUGAGAUGUGGCUUAUAUUGAUUAAUGGGUUGUAACCCUAUUAUAUGUGCAUGCACAAGCUUAAAAAUUUCAUGUGAUGUGAGUAUGUGACUUGCUAUGGUGUGCAAUGUCUUAGACAAGCAUGUUAUUCUACGCAUGUGAAAUAUGUUGGUAUUUUAUGAAGUUAUGAGUUAGCCUUGAGUAUAAAUGUUUGAUGAUUAAGUUGAAAUCUCUUGGUAUGAUAGUAACCAUGGUAUAAAAGUAUAAGUGAUAUUAUAAUAGACAAUGCCAAAUGAGUGUGAAUUGGUGUGUUUAACUUAGUAUAAAAUGAGUAUGCAAAACACAUGUAUCAUGACAUGCAAAUGCUAUGCUUGUGGCCUAAUUGAAGAUGUUUAAUCAUUAAAUGGAUGUCAUGCUAUAUGUUAUGGAUGUUGUAUAAAUGUGUGAGGGUUUAUGGUUGACCAACGCUUGGAAAAUAGCUUCAGUGUUGGCCACACGGGCAGAGACACGGCUGUGUGUCUCAGUUGUGUGGGGGACACGGCCUUAGCACAUGGACGUGUGACUUGGCCGUGUGACCCUAUUUCAUUGCUAACGUUAUAAACAGAGAGUUACACGGGCUGAGAACACGGCGGUGUCUCAAGCCACACGGGCGAGUGUGACUACACGGCCUAACCCACACGGGUGUGUGACUCUCUAAACAUGAAGAAUUUUCUAAGCGUUGUAAAAUUUCUAGAAGUGCUCGGUUUAGUCCCAAACCACCUUUAAUGCAUGUUUAGAGCCUCGAUAGCUCGUGUAAGGGACAUUAUGCAUGUGUUUGAAAAGUUUUAGUUUGGACGAAAUUUUAUGGCCCGGUGUUGCACGUUUGUUUAUGCUUAAGUCUGGUAAUGCCUCGUGUCCUAUCCUGGCGUCGGACACAGGUAAGGGGUGCUAUAAUUUUACUAGAAUUAUUUAGGAAUCCUUUAGGGUUCCCAUUAAAAGUAAAAAUCUCUAACUUAAGUUUCAAAUUAGAUACGUUUGGUGAACACAUCUUAAUCGAGUUACAAGUAAACCAGAGGCAUUUUCUUUAGAUUUUUUAUUUAAGAUUUCCAUAAAAUUUUACCUAAAUUAAGACAUUAACAUGUUUAAAUAAAAAAAACCUACCUCCUAAGACCCUGUAGGACUAUCCCCGAAUAGGCAUUGUGGGGGUGUUAUAUGUAAUAUCCCUAAACCGAGUCUAGUAGUUCCAGGUAUAUUUUUCAGGUUCCGGGCGUCAAUUAGGAAUUUAUCAGGUUAAUAGUAAAUUUUAAUCUAAUUUAAAAGGUCAAUUUCAUCUAAAAUCGAUUAAACAGUAAUCCGAAGAAAUAAAAAUAUUUUGGAAAAAUUAAUUUUAAAGUAAUUAAAAUAAUAAUUAAUUUGGGUUUAAUUUGAGUUAAAUUUAAAUACUAAUUAAAUUGGAUUUAAUUUUUUUUAAAAAGUGAAAAUUUAGAGUAUUUAUAUGGCAAAUAAACCUUAAAAUGUGGGAGUGGCCAUUAGGCAAAUUCCUCAAUUUUUAAAUUUCUGGUGGUUGUUUCAGUUUUAAACACAAUACAUCUAGCCUACUUUUCACACCAUUUACAUGAGAUUAGAGAGCUAUAAAAUUUGUUUUCUUUGCAUGGUUUUAAAGAUCUAUCAUCAGAGAAUAGAUUCAACAAAUUUUCUUCUCAAAAUACUCUCUCAAUUCACCCGAAAUUAUUCUCAAAUGUAGCAAAAAAUAUUUCGAAAUUUCUCAAGAUUCUUAAAUCAAGAUUUUCAAUCAAAUGAUUUAGAAUGAAUCAAAGGUAAUUAUCAUUUCUAAACAUAUUUUUAUGAUGAUAAGAAGUAUAUUUACAUGAUUUGAGUGAUAAUUACAUGAUUUUUUUUAUCAAUGUCAUCUUCUUCAAAAGCUUAAGGUACUUUAAUGGUGGAUCUUGAAUUUUAAGUGGAAAUCCACAAAUCAAUGGAUGUUCCAACUUAAAAUGGAUAUAUUAAAAGGUUUUUGGUCUUAUUUAUCAAGUUUAAACAUGAUUUGUGAAGUAAUUUGAAAAAAUUCGAAUUUCAUUAUCUUCAUGAAUCGAUUUUUUGGAUUUUUGUGAAAUUGAUUUAAAUGUGAAAUUGAUGCUUGGUAUAUGUUUAUUUGGUCUAGUGUUGAUGUUUGGAAGUGAUUAAGAGGUUUGGAGUGAUCGAUUUUUUGAGAAAUUGAGUUUUCGACUUGAUAAUGCAAAUCGAUAAGGUAACUUUGAGUGAGAAUUUCGGGUAGCCUAGUUGAUGAAAUUUUGUGUUUAUUAUAUCUUUUGAAAGGUAGUAAUAUCUAUUAUAUCUCCGUUGAAGCUUUGAAUAUUAAAGAAGAUCGAGCUAAUUGAAAUUGAAGCUUGGAUUUGCUUGGUUGAUCACUUGGUUGUGGUUGAGUUAUUUGUAUGGUGAGUGUUACUAAAGGGUGAUUUGAUAAAUUGACCCUCACUUAUGCUUAAUUAGAUGAUUAAUUACUAGUUUCAAAUAUUUAAUUGAGUUUUGGUUGGUUAGUUUUGUAAGAUUAUUGAUAUAUGUUUAAGUGAUGAAAUUUAGUGAUUUUAUGUGCUUGAUUUGAUUGAUUAUAAUGGUGACCUAAGCAAGUAUGCUGGAGUUUCAAUUGAUAAAUGAACAUUGAUAUUAGUUAAUUGGUAUGCUAGAUUUAAUUUGAUGUUAAAAUGACUAUGUUACAUGAUUCACCUAUGCAUUUUGGCACUUUAAAUUGAGCACAUUAUUGAUUGAAAUUAUGUUAUGAUUAAUUUAUUAUAUUGGAAUUAUAGCAUGGUGGAUCCAUUAGAUAUAGUUGGCAUGCCAUAGGAUUUGUGAGUACUUACCAUAUUAAUAUUUUAUUUGUGAGCAAUGAGGUUCUAGGUGGACUGAUUUAGAGUAGAUAAAGGAGUGUUGAUCUUGUUUCUCCACUCAACGGGAUUGAUUUGAGGAGAUAUAAGGGAGCGUGUGGCCUCAUCCCGCUCAAUCUGAGACUAAUUCUAAUUUUGAUUGGGAGUAAGGAGAUCCGUUUAUUCAAUGUAUGAUCACCUAAUUAAGCCAUUAUUGUAUAUGCCAACAUAAAUGUAUGAAAUGUUAUAUGCUAAAUUGAUGAUUAUAUGCCAUGAUUAAUUAUGAUUUUUGAUACAUGGUUGAGCAUAUGACAUUGAACUAUUAUGGAUUGAUAUUGUGACUGAAAUGUUGUAUUUGAUUGGUUUCGAUUUAAGCAUGAUUUGGGUGCUAAUUUACUCUUCAUUUUAUUAAAAUUCACUGAGCUUUUUAAGCUCACACCCUUACAAUUUAUGCAGAUAAUUGUCGAGCUUGAGGAGCUGAGGAGCCGAGCAAAAAAUUUCCAAGAGAUAUAGGCUUGGUAGAGACUUUAAUACAUAUUUUAAAGACUGUAAUUGGGCAUUGUGGAACUCCUAGGAAUUAG